CUCCUCACACGGGUAGCAGGUUUCCUCCGCUGGAUGCCUUCCAGAUCCGAGCACCGGGAAGGCAUUAGCCAGGGUCAGCCCAGAUUAACGAGGCUCGGGGGCCGUCUGGGCCUCGGCUGCUUUGUGACAGCAAAUCAGAGGGAACUUGUUAGUACCGUGGACAGGAAGAUCGCGGCCGUUCAGACGGUUUCUGGACGACGGGGAGCCAGACACUUCUAAAGGCGGAGACGGGGAGGAAAAUAGGCCCUGGGGGCUGACGGAGCGGAGGAGCGCCCCCCACCCCAGGCCCGUCAGACGGAGGAGGCCGAGGCAAAUUCCCAGAGCGGGAACAGGCUGUGGGCGCAGACUGCGAAGUCCCGGGGACUAUUUUCAUUUUGUCGAUUGCACAAAGAAGGAAGUUGCUCCUUCCCUUUUCUUGCGAAGGAAACGUCCGCAUUCAAGGGCUUGAGCGCGUAGGUCAUGGUGGGGGGCCGCCUCCCCUUCCACGGGCCCUCUCUCCAAAGAGCCUGUCAUCACUGGCCGUGUCCCAGAGACCGAGGCCAUCUGACUGUGCAGGCUGACACGCUAGAGACUUCCGCUAACCCAGACAGCGGGAACAAGAAGCUGGUCUAGGGGAAGAGCACGUAGGACAACUGGCUGUCCACAUUCACUGGUGACAACCAGAAGGCACCAGCAGCGCCUCUGUCUCCCACUGUGCCGUCGGAUGCCCCUGGAGUCAAACAGCCAAGCGGUGACUGAGCCCCAGGGUCAACGCCCGAGUUCGAGGCUGUCCUGCAGUCCGCACUCAGCCAUCGCCUUCUCCCCACGUCCUGAGUCUCAGACUUGCAAGGCUCAGCGUCCAUGGCCUGUCGAGGCCCAAGUCCCCAGGAGCAGCCCACGGGCAGGCUUGGGUGCUUUCCCACUGGCUUCUGAGCACCUUCCCCAGAGAAGUGACCCUCCGGACUCAAGCUGCCCUCGACGGAAAACUUGGUACCUCAGACCCAACUUCCGCUGGCCUUGGGCUCAUGUCUGUUCAAAUAAUCCUCCGUUCCUACUCUCCAGGAAUUCUCAUCAAGUAGACGGGGCCAGAUUACAAAUAAGGUCUUCCAUAAAGCGUGGUUCCCAGACCUGGUAUCACAGGCCAGUGAACUAAAAGGGGGUGAAGAAUAGACAAUAAAGAGAAAAAUGAGAGACGAAUUUCCUGUUGCCAGUUAAGGACAAUUUUCAGAAUAACAAUUCCCUCUACCCUUCUUGCCAAAUCCUACCAUCAUCUCAUUAAAAACAAAUAGUUUUUAAUAUGAAAAAAGCCAGGGAGGACAUCAUCUCAGAAGAAAGAAGAGUCCUUGCCAACAGAGCCCAUCGGACCUAUUGUUCUGGCGCCCCGCCAUUCCCAAAGUCUGGGUCCACCACCCUCUCCCCAUCUUGCCUGGGGUUAGUGAGCAUUUCCCGAAGCAGGAACCUCAACCAGGGUGGCACAAGGCUCCUGGGUAAGUGUGAGGGGGCCCAUGUGGGGUUGGACAGCGUCCUCCCAAAUUACACAUCUACCCAGAACCUCAGAAGGUGGCCUUAUUUGGAGAAAGGGUCUUUGCAGAUGACACUUUAAAAUGAGGUCAAGUUGGAUUGGGGUGGGUCCUCACCCAAUGCCUGGGUCUUUGUAAGAAGAGAUAAGAGAGAACAGAGGCCCGGGGAGAAGGCACGUGAGGAGGGAGGCAGAGGCUGGAGUGAGGUGUCUGCCGGCCAAGGACAGUGAGGCUCAGACACCAGCAGACUCUCCGAGUCCCACCAAUGCUUUGACGCCGCACUUCCGGCCUCCAGAGCCAGGAGAGUCGUCCCUCUGCACUGGCCUCCCGUCUAAGGUGCUCCUCUAGGCAGAUAGGAGGAAACAGGAGGACAGAUCCUUGAGAGAAAAAUCUCUUUCAUGGGCCAAAGGGAGGGGUCAAGGAUCGAGGGGCUGGGGAAAUCUGGGGCCCGGGGACAGGAUGUGCCUGGCCCGGGAGGGAGCAGCAGCCCGCCUGGUAGACAGGCUGCCAGGACCUCACAGCAGUGGGGGGCGCCCGGGGGAGCGGCCAUGCUGACCCGGGUCCUCAGCCUCCACUCCGCAGCCAGCGGCCCCGGGGACACGCUCCACUUCUUACCGGACUGACUGUCGUGAGGCUGGUUGUUUCUCGCGCUUGGAAGAGGAAGGUUUUAAUGAAACUUCUGAAAGGUGGAGAAACGGUCAGAUCAUCCGGGUGACUCUGUUCUUGAAGGAACCUGUUAGACAUCGCCCGUUUCCUGGAGGCGUGAGCUCUUCCCAGGGUGAACGCAUGCGGCGUGCACAGCCCGAGCAGGACGGACGCACGGCCGACCUCACUGCACGGCUCCGCUCCGGAGGCCCGGGGUCAGCCCCUCCCCUAACUUCCUCAUUCAUAAACUGGGGACCCUCAUCAUCAUAAAUAAUGGAGCCUAACUCAUAGGCUUUAUUGUGACAAUUGAAUGGAAUUGUGUGUGCGUCGUAAUCCACUUGGCGAACGUGAACUAGCCCCAUUUUUACUAUUCUUUUCGUGUUUAUGAGAUAGAUUAACGGAUACGGAAGGAACACCUGUGGUAGGAAACUAAUUGGAAGAAUUUAUGAUACAUUUGACCCAAGAAUACCCUGGGUCGUCAAGAAAUGAAAUAUAAUUCGGGGUGCUCAGUGGGGUUCCCAUGUUAGCACAGCCUGCCGGCGGGAGGGGGUGCACUUAGCAAAACCCUCCUGGGUCGCAAGAGUGUUCCUCUCCCGUUCUCACACGGCCGCUCCUCAGCCUCAGUGGAGUCCUUCUAGUGCAUGUGACAAUGAGCCGUGUCCCUCGAGGUGUCCUCACGUGGGCUGUCACACAGCUCGGACCAUCCCUCUCUGGCUCCGCAGGUGAGCAAAGUUCACUGAGGUCACGUCCAAGUGUGUUUUCCUUGUUCUUGUCCUUGGGGGCUUUCUCUUUGGGGGUCAUCUUUUCUUUUUAGGAUUAGCAAAGAUCUACAUCAAUUAAAGUCCAACCGUUUGUCAAAAGUCUACCUUAUCUGUAUUUGCCUUUCAAUGCUCCUGCUUUGGGAACAUUUGCAUUCUUUUAAUCUUGUGGCAUUUCAUUUAAUUUUUUAAAAUAUUUAUUUGAGAGAGACAGAAUGUGAGCGGGGGAGGGGCAGAGAG